UACGUAGGGUGCAAGCGUUAAUCGGAAUUACUGGGCGUAAAGCGUGCGCAGGCGGUUGUGCAAGACAGAUGUGAAAUCCCCGGGCUCAACCGUGGAACUGCUCGGUAUACUGCGGGCCUUGAGCCAGCUAGGGGCAACCGGAACAAACGGUGGAGCGGUGAAAUGCGUAGAUAUCGUUUGGAACGCCGAUGGUGAAAACAGGUUGCUGGGGCUGCGCUGACGCUGAGACACGAAAGCCAGGGGAGCGAACGGG
rnacentral:rRNA from 1 species